rnacentral:rRNA from 1 species
UAAGGAAUAUUGGUCAAUGGACGAAAGUCUGAACCAGCCAUGCCGCGUGGAGGAUGAAGGUCCUCUGGAUUGUAAACUUCUUUUAUCUGGGACGAAAAAAGGUCUUUCUAGAUCGUCUGACGGUACCAGAUGAAUAAGCACCGGCUAACUCCGUGCCAGCAGCCGCGGUAAUACGGAGGGUGCAAGCGUUAUCCGGAUUCACUGGGUUUAAAGGGUGCGUAGGUGGGUUGGUAAGUCAGUGGUGAAAUCUUCGAGCUUAACUCGGAAACUGCCAUUGAUACUAUCAGUCUUGAAUAUUGUGGAGGUUAGCGGAAUAUGUCAUGUAGCGGUGAAAUGCUUAGAUAUGACAUAGAACACCAAUUGCGAAGGCAGCUGGCUACACAUAUAUUGACACUGAGGCACGAAAGCGUGGGGAUCAAACAGGAUUAGAUACCCUGGGUAGUCCGCGCCCUAAACUAUGGACACUCGACAUACGCGAUACACUGUGUGUGUCUGAGCGAAAGCAUUAAGUAUCCCCACCCUGGGAAGUACGAUCGCAAGAUUGAAACUUAAAUG